UUCCACAUGAUCGCAUGUGAUUGUGGGAAAGAUUCUAUCGGCGUGGGAUGGGGUCGCGUCCUAUCAGCUUGUUGGUGAGGUAACGGCUCACCAAGGCUUCGACGGGUAGCCGGCCUGAGAGGGCGACCGGCCACAUUGGGACUGAGAUACGGCCCAGACUCCUACGGGAGGCAGCAGUGGGGAAUAUUGCACAAUGGGCGCAAGCCUGAUGCAGCGACGCCGCGUGAGGGAUGGAGGCCUUCGGGUUGUAAACCUCUUUUGUUUGGGAGCAAGCCUUCGGGUGAGUGUACCUUUCGAAUAAGCGCCGGCUAACUACGUGCCAGCAGCCGCGGUAAUACGUAGGGCGCAAGCGUUAUCCGGAUUUAUUGGGCGUAAAGGGCUCGUAGGCGGCUCGUCGCGUCCGGUGUGAAAGUCCAUCGCUUAACGGUGGAUCUGCGCCGGGUACGGGCGGG
rnacentral:rRNA from 1 species